UGCCACGCCCANUGCUGGAACCUGCGGAU
rnacentral:piRNA from 1 species